rnacentral:rRNA from 1 species
AUGGCGAUGCCCACCUUCCACCUCGCCCCCGACCUGCCGUCCGUCUCGCGCCUCUGCCUCGGGACCAUGACGAUGGGGGAGCAAAGCGGGCCGCCGGAAUCGCUCCGCCUCCUCGACGCCGCCUACGACGCCGGCGUCAACUUCUUCGACUCCGCCGAGAUGUACCCGGUGCCGCAGCGCGCGGAAACGCACGGGCGCAGCGAGGAGCUCGUCGGCCGGUGGCUGCGGGCCCGGCGGGUCCCCCGCGACAGCGUGGUGCUCGCCACCAAGGUCGCCGGGCCGUCUGGUCAGAUGACGUGGAUCCGUGGCGGGCCGGUGGCUCUCGACUCCAGGAACAUCACCGAGGCAAUCGAUUCCAGAAUCAGUUUGCUGGCGUACAGCCCAAUGGCAAUGGGUAUACUUUCAGGGAAGUAUCACUCAUCUGAUGACAGCGGACCGCCAGAUGCAAGGAUGAAUCUUUUCAUGGGGAGAUACUCCGAGGGUGAAUCCAGAUACAAUCUGAAGAACCCCAAACUGGAAUCGGCAGUGAAGGAAUAUAGAAGAAUUGGCGUCAAGUAUGGCAUUUCGCCAUCAAUCCUAGCAGUUGCAUUUGUACUCAGACACCCCCUUGUGGGUUCAGCUGUUUUCGGUGUUACUAAAUUAUGGCAGCUCGAGGAGGUUCUUCAGGCCACAGGGGUCCAUCUCUGUGAAGAAAUAUUGGCGGAGAUCAAUGAUGUACAUGCAAGAUUUCCCAAUCCUUGUCCAUAA